GCUUACGGCCAUACCACCCUGAGAACGCCCGAUCUCGUCUGAUCUCGGAAGCUAUGCAGGGUCGGGCCUGGUUAGUGCUUGGAUGGGAGACCGCCUGGGAAUACCAGGUGCUGUAAGCU
rnacentral:rRNA from 1 species